rnacentral:miRNA from 1 species
CGCGGAGAGGAAGGUAUGCGU